UUGCACAUCACCUUUAAAAUUAGCUCCAGAAUACAUCACUUUUUAAUUUAGUUGUAAAUUGCACACACGUUGACCACCACCACCACCUUGAUCGGUGUUGACGUGGCUCCCGAAAUUUUCAGAUGUGGAUUCACCGGCAUUCAAAACGACGUCGUUUUGAAUGAAUAUAAAUAAAUAAAAAAAGGAAAAAAUCCCCAAAUCUCGUCUGCACCUUCUUCCCCAAAUCUUGUCUGCACCUUCUUCCCGUCUGCACCUUCAUCCCCAAAUCUCGUCUGCACCUUCUUCCCGUUUGCACCUUCAUCCCCAAAUCUCCUAGGUCUUCAAGUAGGCGUAUUUGAGGUCGGAGAGGGCGGCCUUGGCGGUCGGCGUUGUAGGGGAACU
rnacentral:lncRNA from 1 species